rnacentral:rRNA from 1 species
AUGGCGGCGGCGGCGGCUGCUGCGGCGUGCCGCAGGGCCGUCUCCUACACCCUGCGCGGUCCGCCGGCCGAGAGCCUCGCCGCAACGGUAGCUGCGGCCGCCACUGGCGACCAGUUCGUGGACCUGCUCGACGCCAACUUCAACAAGCCUGCCCCGGCGCUGCCGGCGAAGACGCGCACGGAGAACAACUCCCCGACGUUCGCCACCUCGGGUGACCCCUGCCUCGACUUCUUCUUCCACGUCGUUCCCGACACCCCGGCCGAGACUGUUUCAUCUCUCCUCGCAAACGCCUGGGCCGCCGAUCCUACCACCGCGCUCCACCUCGCCUGCAACCUCCGCGGCGUGCGCGGCACCGGCAAGUCCGACCGGGAGGGGUUCUACGCCGCCGCGCUCUGGAUGCACGGCUCCCACCCCGCCACGCUCGCCCUCAACGCGCGCCCGGUCGCCGAGUUCGGAUACCUCAAGGACCUCCCCGAGAUCCUCCACCGCAUCAUCCAUGGCGGUGUCGCCACCACCGCCAGGACACCAAAGAAGCAGUGGAGCGAAGACGCGGAAGAGUCCAUAGGGUGCAAGGGGAGAGGCUGUGGACCACGGGCGUUCUGCGCCGGAGGGCGUCGGCAUGCUGUGCGUCGGAAGUCGGGAGCACACAAGCGCACGAGGAGGGCGCGCAUUGCAGCUAGCCAGAGGCGUGAUCUGGAGGAGGCCGCCCAAGCCGCCGUCGCGCGCAGGAAGAAGCGCGCGGACGCCGCGGCGACGGCCGUCCAGAGGUACACCCGCGACCAGAACUACCGCCUCCUGCACGACAUGAUGGCGGAGGUGUUCGCCGACCUUCUCGCCGAGGACCUGAAGAAGCUCUCGGAAGGCAACAUGGAUCUCUCGCUGGCCGGGAAGUGGUGCCCGUCGGUCGACAGCUGCUACGACCGCUCAACGCUCAUCUGCGAGGCCAUCGCGCGCCGCCUCUUCCCCAAGUGCUCGGCCCGCGAUCUUCCCGAGGACUUGCCGGACGCGCAUUACACCUACCGGGUACGCGAGCGCCUCCGCAAGGAAGCGUACGUGCCGCUCCGCCAUGCCCUGAAGCUCCCCGAGAUAUUCAUCUCAGCGGGCGAGUGGGCGAAAGUGGUGUACACGCGCGUGUCCUCCGUCGCCAUGAAGAACUACAAGGACCACUUCGUCUACUACGACCAAGCGCGCUUCGCCCGCUACCUCGCCGACGUGGAGGCCGGCAAAGUGAAGAUCGCGGCGGGCGCGCUGCUGCCGCACGAGAUCCUGACGUCCGCCUACUUCGACCCCGAGGUCGCCAACCUGCAGUGGAGGCGCACGGUGGACGACCUGCUGGCGCUGGGCAAGCUCAACAACUGCCUCGCCGUGUGCGACGUGUCGGGCAGCAUGUCCGGCCACCCCAUGGACGUGUGCGUCUCGCUGGGCCUCCUCCUCUCGGAGCUCUGCGACGAGCUGUGGCGCCACCGCGUCAUCACCUUCAGCGCGGCGCCGCAGCUGCACCACGUCGUCGGCGACACCCUCUGGGAGAAGGCCCAGUUCAUCCAGCGCAUGGAGUGGGGCUUCAACACCGACUUCCAGGCGGUGUUCGACCAGCUGCUCCACGUGGCCGUCGCGGGCAAGCUGCCGCCCGAGAGCAUGGUGAAGAAGGUGUUCGUGUUCAGCGACAUGGAGUUCGACCAGGCGUCGGCCAGGCCAUGGGAGACGGACUACGAGGCCAUCACCAGGAAGUACACCGAGGCCGGGUACGCCGACGCCAUACCGCAGAUCGUCUUCUGGAACCUGCGGGACUCGAGGUCCGUGCCGGUCACGUCGGAGCAGAAGGGGGUGGCGCUCGUCAGCGGCUUCUCCCAGAACAUGCUCAAGCUCUUCCUCGGCCCAGACCCAGAGGAAGAAGAACAACAAAAGGAUGAAGAAGAAGAACUACAAAAGGGAGACGGGAAUUCAAAACAAGAAGAAGAACAAGAAUUGAAGAAAGGAAAAGAAGUCACCAUGACGCCGAGGUCCGUCAUGGAGAAGGCCAUCGCCGGGCCCUUGUACGAGAAGCUCGUCGUGUUCGACUGA